GACGUAGGGCGCGAGCGUUGUCCGGAUUUAUUGGGCGUAAAGAGCUCGUAGGCGGCUUGUCGCGUCGACUGUGAAAUCCCGCGGCUCAACUGCGGGUCUGCAGUCGAUACGGGCAGGCUAGAGUUCGGUAGGGGAGACUGGAAUUCCUGGUGUAGCGGUGAAAUGCGCAGAUAUCGGGAAGAACACCCGUGGCGAAGGCGGUUCUCUGGGACGGUACUGACGCUGAGACGCGAAAGCGUGGGGAGCGAACAGG
rnacentral:rRNA from 1 species